AGUUAAAAAGCUAAGAACAAGCCUAGUGUCUUGAAAAUACUACGAAAGAAGUUCAAUUCUUCUAUUAACUU
rnacentral:tRNA from 1 species